CGCAAUGGAACAAAGACGCACCUAAGCGCGCUCUGCAAGUAUGGAGUAUCAAUUGCCCUUUAUGUUUUCGUCGGAUGCGCAUGGCCUAACUAAACCCGGCCACGUCCAUGCCAGUGGAGAACGAUAAUUCACGGGUUGGAACCUUGGCGGCGCUUUUUUUUUUUUUUUUUUUUUUUUUUUUUCCUCAUUUCCCCCUCCCUGGUUAAACCGGGGCAGGGGAAUACGGUGAUAACAUCGCACGUACCCGAUGGAGGGGCCACGCCAACAACCAAUAGAGCCAAAAGAGCCAAAAGAGAGAAAUCAAGAAGGGGAAAUUCAACGAUUUGGUUCAGGCGAUCUGGCUCCAGCUGUCCACUGUGCUGUUCAUCAUGGUCGGCUGACAUGCUCCCGCUAGAAUCUUAGGGCGGUUGCAGAGCCAGCCAGAAGAUAUUAUUAUCCUGCACGCUGUCACCGGCUGCAACCGGCCGGGAUGAGGACAUGGCAGGAUCCAUCCGGGGCUAAUUGGCCAUUGCAUCUUUCUAUCGAAUGAGUGAUUGAUGGGCGAUACAUUCAUCGGCUAUGGAUUCUGGUCAGCCGGUCACCCAUUUGUUGCUCGCACGUCUCUUUCCGUGGGGGGUUAGCAGUUCAACAACUCUUCGCUCCUUUUCGAUGGCUGAUGGUCGCUUGUCAGCAAAUUCUGUGGAAAACCUUCAAAAGCUACAUUGAUCACGGAAUCAAUUCAGCCAAGGCUUUGGUUGCUGGGCAAAUAAAUAAAUUAAAUAAAUAAAACAAAGGAUGUCAUCAACAGUGCCCUUCCUACUAGAAAUUCGGUUACUUCUGUUUGAGAGAGGAACCUACCUGAGAAUAAACCGAUAGAUUUGCCUUUUUUCCAACAAAGUUUGCCCGGACGACGACGGAACUUCUCUCUAAUUCUCCCGUAUACCCAACUCUACAGCUGUACGGCAAUUACAUUGAGGACUUCGACAGUUCCUUUUAUAUGCAGGUUGACGAGAUCCUUCAUAUCUACGGAUUAUGAAAUCGGUUUAAGCCAGGCAGCCAUGCACAGGUUCGAUUCUUGUUUUUCGAGUGGAGCGGGCCUUGUUUCUCGUCAAAGUCCCUUGAAUAUUCACCAGCCAUGCCCUAAAUUUGUACGGUACAGGAGAAGGAGGAAGCCUUGACUGUAUGGUAUGCAUUCACUAUCGAUCACUGCUAUUGUUUAUAUUUAUAUUUAUCUAUUUUACUUGAUAUUUUCCCGAUAGAAUCUCUUUUUCCAGGGAUUUUCUGACACCGUCGACACGCUUCAUUCAAUGUAUAACUAUAUCGUAGUACAUCUGGUGUGAUGAGCAUAGUGUCCCAUUUAACUGCUCCUCCCUGUUCGGCUGAACACCCACCGUGCCUCCCUCAUUACUCACAACAGAGCUGAAACGGUGAACGACUUCCCCAAAGGGUCACUGUAGUUAGGUGGGCCGUGGGGUCUGGCAGACCAUACACUGCGUGUCGAUAAUUACUCUUACUGACGCUCUUGGUAUUGAUAUUCUUUGCUCGGCCGUAUAAUCUGCAUCGAGCGUUGAUAUCGGUUCUUCUGAUCGGCAU
rnacentral:sRNA from 1 species